AGUGGGUCCACAUGCUAGAGCAUAAUGGUAUGCUGCAGAACAAAGAGAUCCUGAGGUUGGGCCUUUGCACAGUGAAUUUUGUGACCAGGGCCACUGGGCUUUGACACACUGGGGUUCGGUGGCAGCUGAGAGGGGAUUUUGUAGAUGGCAGUGGUGCUUAAAACUGGGGGCUUAAGAACCUAAGCCGCUUUUUGGGGCCCGAAAGAACUCAAGAGAUGACAUACUCGCAGUCCAGAGUUGCUCACAAACUCGAGGAGUAAUCUCUUCCUAAAUGUAUAGCAUUCUGCUUUGAAGAACAGUGUGGCUCUUCAUGAGAAAAUUACUUUCACUGAGCAACAGAGUGUAUACAAAUGAAUUUACAGCUGCCAUGACCCCAGGAGACAGCCAUUUUUCCAUACCUCCUCACAGCAAACAACCAUUGGAAUUGUACCAUUUGUAACGUGGAGCAGGAUUUCCUUGGACAUUGCAGUCAAUCAGGGCACUCUUCCCUUCCUUGACUGUAAUAUGAUCAAUUAUGGAGAUAAUCACAGUCAAAUGUGAAGAAUAUCUACUUUGAAAAUACAUCGUCAAGAGUGCGGAAGGUUUCCUGAGGAGUGCUAAAUACUUUCCAGCGUGCAAGGGUCAGGCAUUUCUGAAAAAUCCUAAACAGUGUUUUGGACUUGGGGCUUGGCAACAAAUGUUUUCAGACACACAAAAGACAACAAGGUAACUAAACAUUGUAGGAAAUCCUCUUCUGUCUGCGCCAAAGUGCUAUUAGAGAGGAACAAAGAAUGGAAAUGCAAAAUAGGUUCUGAUUAAGACCUCCACAGCUGCAGAUUGAAUCUGAUCCUCCAGUCCUCACUCAGUUCCAAGUUUCCAUUGAGUUCAUUAGGCCCAAACCCAGCAUCCUGAAAUGUUUUCUGACCUCUCCUCAAAUCCCAACAGCUGAAGCAGUACACUUUAAGUACACAAAUUAAUCCCAUCCUUUUUAUGAGACCCAAUAACUGUGAUGUGAGCAUUUUUGUCACUGAAUGGGGAAAAAUUACAAAUGAUUAAUCUUUGUCACUGUAAAUAAUGUAUUUAUUUCUGUCUUUGGCAUAUGAACCGACACAUUUGUAUAAGCCAAUUAUUAAAUUAAUCAUACUUCAAGUCUAAACAAGUUUUUAAAAAAGUCUACUUGUAUGGCCAAAUUAUCUCCUUCCUGUGGAAAGGGGAAAGAACUUCUUUAGCUGUGCUGUGUUACUCCUGGGGAGUAUUAGUCGGGACAGAGAGAAGAUAUGAUCACUUACUAGGAUGAAAUCUGAAGAUCCAUAAGGAAUCUUAGCAUUCACUCCAGGGCUCUUGGCACACACAUGUGCAGCAUCUGCCCCUCCACAUGCUGUUCUGGGCAACCUUUCUCACAGCAACACAUCUGC